ACUCUUGGGACGAGCAGUGGAAUCCUUGCUAUUGAUUGGCUGGUUAAAUAGGGGACUAUUAGCUUCAGACGGGCUAGAUUGAUUACACAGCAGCAGCAGGAGCUGAGACUCAGCUGAGCGAGAGCGUCAGGGUGAAAAGGAAAGCGAGCAAGAGAGAGAGGGAGAGAGGAAUGCAAGGUAGGAGGAAGGCAGUGCACGUUCCAUAGCAUCACUAUGUGAAUGCUGGUGCCCGAUAAUCUUGCUUUGCAGCUCCCUCAGUCAACAACUUACUGAGGUGCCUUUUCUUUUAAAAGAGGAUGUCAGCUCUAAGCUCCAGAAAGAAAUAACAGACUUCACCUUGGAAUAGCUCAUCUCACUCCUGCAUCAUUAAAGCGGAUUUUGAAAAGAAAACAAAAAUCAAGUCCCCUUUCCAGCCCUACUUUGGUCCAGCAUUGAAUAGAAACAGCUUCAUGCUCCAGGAGUCAACCACAGCAAUAUAUAAGACGAAAAGAUAUCACCAAACAUUCAUUAAGUGAUUUAUAAGGAGAAGAAAUCCCAGUAAGGGUGACAAAGGAGGAAGGAAAUUCUCUCCUAGCAACCCAGAUCAGCUGAAUCAACUCAGGUAUUCAGGGAAGUAUUAAGUGUCGCAGAAAAUUUGCCCUCACAUCCAGAUGGUCAAGAGACAAAACCACUCAUUUUUUUAACUUUACUUCAAAUUUUCAUAAUGUUAUAAAUAUAUAAGUAAAAAAUAUUGAAAUAUAACAAGUAAUGAACCACAUUCAUAGUUUCUCUCACUCUUCCUGGUCCUCAUACCACUCACAUUCAUAUCUCCAUCUUAUGCCCUUAUGUCAAUUGAGUCUGUCCCUUGUAUUCUUUAACAAAUUAGAUCUGCAUAUAUAAAAGUGAAUGUUGCUAAGUUUUUUUUUUUUGUGAGUUUAAUUACUGUAUGGUAUUCCAUGCUUAUACUGUCAUUCUUUUUUAUUUUAACCAUUAGUUAGCAUAGCAUAAUCCACAAAUUGAUUCAAAACUGAAAUAACAGUCUCUGUAAAGAUAUAAGGAUGGGAGAGAUGUAAGAUAAACAAUAAGUUUUAUUUUAUACCAAUAAAAAUGCAAAUGUCUUGUAAGUGGUCAAAAACACAGCUAAAAGAGAAGCAGCGUUACUUAAUGAAAGGUCUUGGAUAAGAUAAUGUUUUGACAUUUUCUAGCAUCAGUGUUGACUCACUUUUAAGCAAGUGAUUAAGAGGAGUAGAUAAACCUCAGAGUGUACAAACCAAGCCAGUGUAUCACAAUUUUCUUAUUUUGUUAUUUUUAUCCAUGAUUAUUAAAGAAAAUAAUGUUUUAGUGCUUAAAAUGUGCUAUGAAUCUACAUACUUGCAAAGAUAGAACAAUAUGUGAGCUAUCCCUGCCAUAGACAGUAGUGAAACAUGGAUUGCAAAAUGCAGAAGUAGUAAGUGCAAAGGUAGACAUAUGGUGCUGUGAAAGCAGAGAGAAUCCUGAAAUUUACUCUUUAGGUGGAAUUUUUCUGUUCGCUCUCAAAGGAUUAGAACAUAUGCAAGCCAAAAAUAGGAAAAGGGAAUUUUAAAGAGAAUACUAGUGUGGUUGGAGCAUGCAGCAGGAAGGAAAGAAUAUCAGAUGUAGUUGGUGGUAAAGGAGCCCACAUUUCCUAUUAAGAAGAUUUAAAUUUAUGCUGUGGAUUAAAAGGAGUCAAUAGUAACUAUGGCUUUAUCAAAUAUUUUCUAACCAUUUAUAAAUAUGGAACCAAGUAUGAAUAUAGCCUUGAGUGAUGUAAGAAUGGUAGCUGGGAUAACUCCAGUUAGAGGAUCGGUGCAAUCUAGAGGUUUGAUCAGAAAUGAUGUGAACUAAGCCAGUGACUGGGAAAAUUAGGUACUGGUACAGACUGAAAAGAUAUCACCCAGGUAUAGUUGAAGGGACUCAACUCAGAAAUUAAUAAGUGUGGGAAACAGCUUUCACCACAAGAGUUGAGGUUACCAAUAAAGAAGAGUGGAGUGAUGAGAAUCUAGGAUUCUGAGGACAAGCCAUACAGAGAUGUUCAUUCUUUGGGGAAGAGCUCAGCAAUAAUUUCAAUUGGACCUCUGAGGAGAUCCCUGUAAGGGGGUUUAGCAAGGCUGACCCAGAGAGUGCUAGAAGAAGCUUGGGGUUAUAGCCUACUUUCCGAUGCUGUUGAACUGAUGCCAACAGGGGCUCUAAAAGAGGAAGAUUCUUUUCCCAUUUGCCCUAUUCUAACCACCCUCUGUUGCUUCCAUUUGGCGAAAUCUAACAAGAAUUCAGAGGUUAAGAGCGUGUGAGAAAUUCAGUCUGUAAAGGCCCAGCCUCAGCAGCAAAGAACAGUGAAUAGAGAAUGGUCUUGGAGCUAAGAGAUAACAAAUAAAUAACUGGCCAAGUAGGUAACUAAAAUUGGCAUUUUGUGAAAAAGAAAAGCAUGAGGUAAAGAUGAAAAGUUCAAUAUUGGACAUCGCUGAUUUGAAGUAAGGUGUUGUGGCAGAAAUUGGACUUAGAACAGUCAAUCUUUCUUUGAUUUGUUUUGUGUAUAACCCUGCUCAGCUCUACCUCUUACUAGCUUUUUGGCCUUAGGUCAAUAAUUUAUCCCAUCUAGGCCUUGGUUUUCUCAUGGGGAUAAUAAGUAUCUCCCUUAUAGGGUUUUAAGGAUAGUAAAUCAUUUAAUGAGUAUGUGUGUGUAUUAUUAUAUGAUUAUAAAUAUAUAUAUACACACACACACACACACACACAUAUAUUCACUUAGAAUGCUGAAUGUCAUAUAUUGCGUAUACUUCAGGAGAGUUAACUUUUGUUAUCAUUUCAAAGUCUUCCAUUAUAGAGGACUUUAAAAGUUAUGAGAAUGGACUAGAAGACAAUAGAUAGAAGAAAAUGUACAUAUUUUCACCAACACUUAAAUUAUUUAUGGAAAAGGGAGAGAUAUUAACUAUCAGGAAAACUGGAAGGUAAUUGUAUUAAGGAAAGCAAUUAAGUAUAUUUUAAGAGGAAAAACAUGAUUAUUAAGCUCUAGUGGCUAAGCAAAGUGAGAGGUCAAUCAAAAUUUAGGAAAACAUAUAUGUAAUUCUUCUAAAUGUAGGUAGAGAUGAAACUCUUUGCAAUGAUAUGAAUAAUAAAUGCCUGCAGUAAGGUUGGGAGACUUGCCAUCCUCAGGGGCUAAGAAAGGCAACAGUGAAAAGCAAGCAGACGAAGACACAGCAACGAAGUCAAGUGGAUCAAUGACCCAAAGGAGGUGGAAAGAAGGUGACUAAGAAGUCACAUCAAAAUGCUAGUUCUUUGUGUUAUCCCAGAUGGAGCUGGAGCCCAUUCUACUAAGUGAAGUAUCACAAGAAUGGAAAAAAACAAUCACCAC